rnacentral:rRNA from 1 species
GCGCGGUGGAGUUGGCCUCAGUGUGUUGAAUGAACGCAAACCUUACGGACACACAGACGAGACGACCACAAAUCACUCCGGCCGGUCGUAUCCACACUGCUAGUGCUACUUGCUGCCGCUUCUUUCCUUGGUCUCUCGUUGUUCUCUGCGGCGACUAGACUACAGUGGGUCUCCCCACAAUCUGCGGCGGCGACGGCGUCGAAGAGCUCGAUCUGUUCAACGUUCGCUCAGCAGAGGCGAAGAGUUGCUGUUCGCUGUUCUUCAGGAUGCUCUUCUUCGAUUGAGCCAAGCCAGAAUUGGAUCUAUAUUCUCCAGUAGUUCAUCUUGGGUUGCUGCAAAUUGGAUUUGAAGGAGCUGCUAUUCAAGAAUUUCGACCCAAGGACAAAUAAAAUAUCGAGGUAUGGAGGCCGCUGCUGGGGCGUUGAGCCCUGUCCUCCGUAAGCUCGGUGAGCUGCUCGCCGGAGAAUACAACCUGGAGAAGCGAGUAAAGAAAGGUGUACAAUCACUUCGUACAGAACUGGAGAUGAUACACGCCGUACUUCGUGAGGUUGGCAAGGUGAGAGACCUCUCUUGCGACAUGGAAGACGCUGUUGAUGACUUUCUGGUGCGUGUGGAUGAGGGUCCAAGCAGCAAGCCAACGAACAUGAGGAAUCGUGUCAAGAAGUUCCUCAAGAAGACCACCAAAUUGUUUGGUAAUGGCAAAGCACUUCAUCAAAUCUCUAGUGCCAUCAAAGAAGCUGAGGACCUUGCCACGGAGUUGGUGGGGCUGCGUAAAAAGUAUGAGCUUGACAUGCGUAGCACUAGCAAUGGUGCUACCAUUGACCCUCGUGUGUUAGCUCUGCACAAAGAUGUAGGGGAGCUUGUUGGCGUUGACUGCACAAGGGAUGAGCUUAUCAAAACACUGAUUUGUGAGGACGGGAGUUCCAAGGAGCAAUUGAAGACCAUCUCUAUUGUUGGUGUUGGUGGGCUAGGCAAGACAACACUCACCAAAGCAGUCUAUGAGAAGAUCAAAGCCCAAUUUGAUCGUGUGGCUUUUGUCCCAGUGGGUCAGAACCCAGAUAUCAAAAAAGUUUUCAAGGACUUACUCUAUGAACUUGACAAUGAAAAGUUCAGUGACAUUCAUAAUACAACACGGGAUGAAAAUCUACUCAUCAAGCAAAUCAGUGAUUACCUUGUGGAUAAGAGGUACCUCAUCGUAAUCGAUGAUAUAUGGGAAGAAGAAAUAUGGAGAUUUAUAAAUUGUGCUUUGUAUAAAAACAACCUCCGUAGUCGGGUAAUCACAACAACCCGCAAUGUGAGCGUGUCUGAAGCAUGUCUCUCUUCUAGUGAUGACAUGAUUCACAAAAUGAAACCUCUUUCUGAUGAAGACUCGCAGAUACUCUUCCAUAGAAGAAUAUUUCAAAGCGAAGUGAAAUGUCCAGAAGAUUUGCAAGCAGUAUCAAGAGAGAUAUUGAAGAAAUGUGGUGGUGUACCAUUAGCCAUCAUUACAAUAUCUAGCCUUCUAGUCAGUAACCAAAGGAUAAAGCAGAAAGAAGAAUGGAUGCAUGUGCACAGUUCGAUGGGCCGUGGAGUUACAGAAGGUGGUAUUGUGAAGGACAUGAAGAGGAUAUUAUCACUCAGCUAUUUUGAUUUGCCUUCGCAUCUAAAGACUUGUUUGUUAUACCUAAGCAUCUUUCCUGAAGACUUUGAGAUUAAGAGAGAUUGGCUGAUAUGGAAGUGGCUUGCUGAAGGGUUUAUCCAAUGUGACAAAGAAGAAACCAGGCUGUUUGAGAUCGGAGAGAGCUACUUCAACGAGCUUAUGAACAGGAGCUUGAUCCAGCCAGCACAAAUCAAUUUGGACGGAACCGUAGUAACCUGUCGAAUACAUGAUAUGGUGCUUGAUCUUAUAUGCUCACUGUCAAAUGAGGAGAAUUUUGUCUCCAUAUUGGAUAAUGUUCAGUGGCAUGCACCUAAUCUGCAAAGGAAAUUCCGCAGGCUAUCACUUCAUAAUAUCAAGGCAACAGUUCAGAACCACCAGUUUGGUAGCACUAGCCUGUCAAAAGUGAGGACCUUUGCUGUUUUUUCUCUUGUUACUUGUGAUUGGUUGCCAUCUCUCUCAAGCUUUCAAUUUUUGCGUGUGCUUGAUCUUGGAAAUUGUGGCAGCAAUGAAAGUAGCUCUGGUAUCAGCCUCAAGUAUGUAGGGAAUUUAAUUCACCUAAGGUACCUAGGGCUCAUGUAUGCAGAUGUUUGCGAACUCCCAAUGGACAUAGGCAAGUUGCAGCUUUUACAGACACUGGAUGUAAGAGGCACUAGUAUAAAAGAAUUACCUGCAAGUGUUGUACAGCUCAGAAAUUUGAUAUGCCUAUAUGUCAAUUAUAGGGUGAGGCUGCCAAAAGGAAUGGGGAGCUUGAUGUCCCUUGAAGUGCUGGAACGAGUAGGCUUAUCCUCGUCUCCUCACAUUGCGGAAGAGCUGAGCCAUCUGACAGAGGUUAGGACACUCGGUGUUGACUGUUAUAACAUGGACGAGGAUCUGAUUGAUAUAUUAAUCAAGUCUCUAGGCAACCUGCACAAAUUGCAAAAUCUGCGUAUUCAUAGUGGUGGCGGAUUGAUGGAUCGCAUAUGUGAAAGCUGGGUGCCCCCUCCAAACCUCCGUAGUAGCAUCUUUUCUUCUUCGUGGUUCUCGCGACUUCCAAAGUGGGUUAAUUCAAGUUCGCUUCCCCACCUCUCCACCCUGGAAAUAGAAGUGGAAGAACUGCAAGGGGAUGACAUUCAGAUCAUUGGGAUGCUGCCUGCUCUUCUGUUUCUGCGGCUGCGUGCAAGUCGCGUGAUGGGAAGGUUGGCUGUGAGGGCCGAUGCAUUCCCAUCUGCGAGAUGCUGCAAGUUCUUGGGGUUUCUGACUUCGCCGUGCCUUUUUCCACCUGGAGCUAUGCCAAGGGUUCAGCGGUUUGAGUUCUGCGUCUCCGCACUGUCGAUCGCGAGUGGUGAGGUUGACUGCGGCAUGGGCCACCUCCCUUCUCUCGAGCAUGUUGAGGUUUGGCUGGAGCGUGAGAAUUCCAGCGAUGAAGAGAUGGAGACAGCCAAGGCUUGGCUGACGCGCGCAGCACAAGCCCAUCCAAAACUUCCCACCAUUGACAUCCUUGACUGUUGAGUGCUGACAUGCCUUUGCCGCUAGUAAGGGCUUGAACAAGAUCCUGGAGUCAGGUACUGUACUUCCAUCAGUUGCCGUGGAUGCUGUUCCAACAUUUCGAUAGGCAACAAACAAUUCACUGUGCCGUCGCAAUCACCAACAAUUCAUUGUACCUCCGGAACUCCCAAUAAACGAAGGCUUAUUCUCUCCAACGUAUGUUCAGAUUCUGCCCUUUGUUAGAUGGAGGCUUCCGCAUGAUUGUUCAUGAUCAGCUAUUUACUUCUCCUGCAUGUGCUUUCAGAAACGCAGCACCUCCUUUCCUUUAUUCAUUCAGUCUUUUAAGAACUAGUACAAUAAAAGUUUGCAUUCAGUUGGCACUAUUUGUAGCAGUACUGCCUCUACGUGUAUUUGAUUGUUCACAUACAGCGUCAUUUUGUUCUUACUGGCUUAUUAAUUAAGAGUUGGCUUGUUUUGCUUUGCUUGGCACUGGCUUAUUCAGUCAAGACUCGUACAAUGAAAGGUCCUUGGUUGAACU